CAAUUAUCCUGCUGCCACAUAGGAUACGCUGCGUUUCAUUAAACGUGAAACCAUCUGAUUUUGGGUCUGAAUUGGGCUUUGCUUUCAGAAACCAGAAGCUCUUCGCGUGAGGCCCAUCGAUCUAGAGUUUCGAAAGCGUUCUUUCAUCUUCUUCCUAAAAAUCAGAGAGAGUUGAUUUAAUCCUGCAGACCGUUUCAUAAUAUCUGACUCGAUUCUUAGUUCUCAGAGUUUUAGAGAUUCUAAGUUUUUCGCUUCUUAAAUUUUUGUGUUCAAAAAAAAAUUGUUUUUUACAGAGAAUUUGAAAGUGGAAGGGUAAAUUAAGAGGAGGAUCAUCGGGAGUAAAAGCAAACAAGAUCAUGAUUGUUAUCCUUCUCUUUUCUCUCCUCUUUGUUAUAAGGAUCAAAAUACAAAUCAUCAUCAUCGUUGAUCCUCCUCUUAAAUUCACACAUAGCUGAGUUUUUCUUUUUCAAAUAAAGCAACAACCGAUUUUCUUUGUGCAGGUAACGAUGUUCGAGAAUAGGUAUCCGUUCAGAGGAUCUUCUUCCGCCGGCAAAUACUCUUCGCCACCGCCGCCACAGACUGUCAAUGAGUCGGAUCUUAUUACGAAAUCGAUCACUCUGUUCUCCCUCUCAGAGUCUCAGAUCGCCACAGCAACUCAAGUCCAUCUGAAUCGUCAUGGUGAGCAAAAUCACUAGAAGCGAUUAACUCUCCUGGUGGAGAAUGUAUAUGUGUAAUAAUCAAUGUUUUUCCUGGUGGAGUACUGAAUCAUUAACUCUCCAAGCAGGAAUCUAUGUAUAUAUGAGUUACUUUGCCCAUGAAAGUGAAAGCGUGCCUUAAGGUUUAUGGUUUGUAUUUUUUUGGUUAUUCUCGGGAUUUAAUGGUUUUUGGUUUUCUCAAUUUACAGCGAGAGAAAGGUUAGCUUUUUACUUGAUGCGGAGGACACUAUUGCUGAAUACGAGAAUAAUGCAAAGGCGAAAAGAACAGAAAAACUGGAGAAACAGGAAGGCUAAGCACUUGAUCGUUUGAACAAUCUCGACCAUGUAACUAAAGUUGAGUUUUUACACCGCCUCAAUGACUUAAAAGAUGGGUUCCGG